rnacentral:rRNA from 1 species
GUGGGGAAUCUUGCGCAAUGGGCGAAAGCCUGACGCAGCGACGCCGCGUGGGUGACGAAGGCCUUCGGGUCGUAAAGCCCUGUGGGGAGGGACGAACAAGCAGCAAUGCCCUGACGGUACCUCCUUAGCAAGCACCGGCCAACUCCGUGCCAGCAGCCGCGGUAAGACGGAGGGUGCAAACGUUGUUCGGAAUUACUGGGCGUAAAGCGCGUGUAGGCGGUCCGAAAAGUCGGGUGUGAAAUCCCUCGGCUCAACCGAGUGAAUUGCACUCGAUACUGCCGGACUGGAGUUCGGGAGAGGGACGUGGAAUUCCCGGUGUAGAGGUGAAAUUCGUAGAUAUCGGGAGGAACACCGGUGGCGAAGGCGGCGUCCUGGACCGAUACUGACGCUGAGACGCGAAAGCGUGGGGAGCAAACAGGAUUAGAAACCCCAGUAGUCC